CUACGGGUUGCUCCAGUGGGGAAUAUUGGACAAUGGGGGAAACCCUGAUCCAGCAAUGCCGCGUGUGUGAAGAAGGCCUGCGGGUUGUAAAGCACUUUCGGUUGGGAGGACUGCUUCUAGCACUAAUAUUGUUGGAAGUUGACGUUACCUUCAGAAGAAGCACCGGCUAACUCCGUGCCAGCAGCCGCGGUAAUAGCGGAGGGUGCAAGCGUUAAUCGGAAUUACUGGGCGUAAAGCGCGCGUAGGCGGCUAGAUCAGUCGGGUGUGAAAGCCCCGGGCUUAACCUGGGAACUGCAUCCGAUACUGUCUAGCUUGAGUACAGGAGAGGAGAGUGGAAUUCCACAUGUAGCGGUGAAAUGCGUAGAUAUGUGGAGGAACACCAAUGGCGAAGGCAGCUCUCUGGCCUGAUACUGACGCUGAGGUGCGAAAGCGUGGGGAGCAAACAGGAUUAGAUACCCGAGUAGUC
rnacentral:rRNA from 1 species